UACGUAGGGGGCAAGCGUGGUCCGGAAUUACUGGGCGUAAAGGGCGCGUAGGCGGCCUUCUAAGUCGAACGUGAAAUCCCCGGGCUCAACCCGGGAACUGCGUCCGAUACUGGAAGGCUUGAAUCCGGGAGAGGGAUGCGGAAUUCCAGGUGUAGCGGUGAAAUGCGUAGAUAUCUGGAGGAACACCGGUGGCGAAGGCGGCAUCCUGGACCGGUAUUGACGCUGAGGCGCGAAAGCCAGGGGAGCAAACGGG
rnacentral:rRNA from 1 species